GUAUAUUUGAAGGCUGUGCAAGUGACAUGCAGGAAGGUGUGACUAAGGUUGUGUAAACAAACUUAUUUAAUUCCUAAAUAGCAGAGAACUGAGCAGUGACAAUGCAGGGAUAUGAUCUAUAACCCAAAACCGAACCAUUAAGCUAAAGUUGUUUUAGUGCCUAUAGUAUCACUUUAAGUUAGGUGUGUAUGCAUAUAGGUGCGUUCAUUCAAGAAUUUUUGUGACAAAACAAGGAAUAGAGUCAACGCUAAUCGGGAAGGCAGCAGUCCCAGGACAAGGACUCCCUCUAAUGUCUUUUAG